rnacentral:rRNA from 1 species
UACAGAGGGUGCAAGCGUUAAUCGGAUUUACUGGGCGUAAAGGGCGCGUAGGUGGUUGUUUAAGUGAGAUGUGAAAUCCCCGGGCUUAACCUGGGAACUGCAUCUUAAACUGGAUAACUGGAGUGCAGUAGAGGGUAGUGGAAUUUCCGGUGUAGCGGUGAAAUGCGUAGAUAUCAGGAGGAAUACCGAUGGCGAAGGCAGGUCUCUGGGCUGACACUGACGCUCAUGCACGAAAGCGUGGGGAGCAAACAGG